CUUCCUCCCUCUCGUUGUGCUCCUCAGCCGAGGUUGCGAGGACUCUCCCUGUAAUCGUCUCCUCCAUGUCAGCAUCUUCCCCCAUCUCUCCAACGCCGUCCAGCCACUAAGCAGCUCGCCGGAGCAGCAAUGCUCAACACCGGCUCCUAGCAUCUGUGCUUCGCCCCACCGCGGAGUCACCUCGUCGGCGUCCCCUCACUCCUCGUCCAUUCGUCGAGCUCGCCGAGCCCCUUCUCAGCCGUGCCGAGUCUCCAAGCCGGCUAUCGACGCUUGCCUUUGUUUUCGUGUUGCCGUCACCCAGUCCUUUUCUCCACGUCAGAGUCCUUGCCUCACCGUGACCGGCACUCCCUGAGAUCCUUGGGAACAUCAUGUCGCCGUCAGUGAACGCUGCUUCGAACCCAUCGCCUUGUGGACCGGCCAAUCCGAGUGUUCUUUGAUUGAGUUUGCGCGAGCGCCGUAGCGGUGAACAUCUAGAAGAAGUGGUGUUUGAAGGAGUCUACUCCAAUGCCUGCUCAUCAAGUGGAUGGAGCUAUCUAACUAAAGGUUGGGUAGAAGGAUUUUGGGAUCUUCUCCUAC